rnacentral:rRNA from 1 species
UACGUAGGUGGCAAGCGUUGUCCGGAUUUAUUGGGCGUAAAGCGCGCGCAGGCGGUCCUUUAAGUCUGAUGUGAAAGCCCACGGCUCAACCGUGGAGGGUCAUUGGAAACUGGAGGACUUGAGUGCAGAAGAGGAAAGUGGAAUUCCAAGUGUAGCGGUGAAAUGCGUAGAGAUUUGGAGGAACACCAGUGGCGAAGGCGACUUUCUGGUCUGUAACUGACGCUGAGGCGCGAAAGCGUGGGGAGCAAACAGG